rnacentral:rRNA from 1 species
UACGUAGGGGGCAAGCGUUGUCCGGAAUCAUUGGGCGUAAAGCGCGUGUAGGCGGCCCGAUAAGUCCGCCGUGAAAGCCCAGGGCUCAACCCUGGGAUGCCGGUGGAAACUGUCGGGCUAGAGUCCGGAAGAGGCGAGUGGAAUUCCUGGUGUAGCGGUGAAAUGCGCAGAUAUCAGGAGGAACACCAGCGGCGAAGGCGGCGCUCUGGGCCGGAACUGACGCUGAGGAGCGAAAGCGUGGGUAGCAAACAGG